UGGUUACCAUGGUUACUCAUCCUUUCACAGUUUCUCAACCCGUCUACUACAAGGCUGUGACAGUUUAAUGAUGAUGAAGCAAUCUUUGGAAAACGGACAUAACUGUCAGUGAAUGUAAACAACACCAUUCUAUGAAUAAAAAAGAUGAUGGGCAGAAUGUAACAGCCUGUGCUUAGAACUACAAAUCCCGGCAAGCUCUGUCAAGCCCAACUGUAAUGGAUUUCAAUGGAUACUGGCAUUUGGAGAACCACUAGACCCCGCCCCCUGUCGGACACAAACCCCACCUCCCAGUGAUGUCAGCUGUCAAUAACUAGGAGGGCACGGAGGAGAAGGCUACAGACCCUCUAGUCAAACAGUUUGCAUUUAGAAGAGGCGAUGCCAGAAAGUGCCCAGCUGUUCCUGGGAAAGCACACUGAGGAUCGGUUUCAGAUCACUUCCAGCGAGCAAUGGAGACGCAGCUUAGUGGCUCUGCCAGAGGACACCUAAGGCAAGAGCUAUGAAGUAAAUAAAACCCAGCAGUAUGCCUACUGCUAAUC